GCCUCACGCCCCUCGCCGGCCCUCAGGAUCCCCCCACGCGUGCCCUCGGCCUUGGAGGCGCGCCGAGCAGAGGCGGGACGCGCGCCCCAGCACUGCUGAAGCGCCGCCCGGCAGCAUUCAUGGCGCUGAGCCACGGCCGCUGGGCGUGCGCCCGGCGCGCUACCACACGUCGUGCCGCUGUGGCAUACUUUACCCUGCCGGACCUGUCGCCUUGGGGUGAGGGAGGUAGCCGUGAGAGACCCGCGAU
rnacentral:misc_RNA from 1 species